ensembl:lincRNA Gm44442 predicted gene, 44442
ACACAAUUCUAAUGGGAUGGGGAAUCAAGUGCUACCUGGCUGGAUCUCUCAGGAGCAUGGAUUCUCUCAGGAGGUUAUAGGCAAACUAUCAGCCAUCUUGUCCACGGUCAUAAGGAGCCAUGGUCUUCAUACCCUGCACCAGCCAGCACCAGUUGACAGUGAGUUAUGCUGAGCAGCCACUACUGUGGAUAGAUAAGUGAGCUGUCCAGCUACCCCAGCAAGCUCUCAAACAGUCUCGCUGUGAAGAAGACAGACCCAGGUCUCUGGGUGGGAGGCUGCCAACUUUUUGGAAAAGGCCUUUGCUGCAACUACUGUGUGGGCCUCCGCAAAGGCGAGGAUGACGGGAACAGCAAGCUUUCAUGGGAGACAUCACCAACAGUAACAGUUUUAAACAUU